rnacentral:rRNA from 1 species
UGGGGAAUAUUGCACAAUGGGCGAAAGCCUGAUGCAGCAACGCCGCGUGAGCGAAGAAGGUCUUCGGAUCGUAAAGCUCUGUCCUUGGGGAAGAUAAUGACGGUACCCUUGGAGGAAGCCCCGGCUAACUACGUGCCAGCAGCCGCGGUAAUACGUAGGUGGCAAGCGUUGUCCGGAAUGACUGGGCGUAAAGGGUACGUAGGUGGCUAUUCAAGUUAAUAGUGAAAUCCCGGGGCUCAACCCCGGUGCUACUGUUAAGACUGUUUAGCUUGAGUGCAGGAGGGGUAAGUAGAAUUCCUAGUGUAGCGGUGGAAUGCGUAAGAUAUUAGGAAGAAUACCGGUGGCGAAGGCGACUUACUGGACUGUAACUGACACUGAAGUACGAAAGCGUGGGGAGCAAACAGGAUUAGAUACCCUGGUAGU